ACUGCGCCAUCAGGCUGGCGACGCUGGCGGAGUUGUGGCACCGGCCGUUGCCCGAAGGAGUGGCGGACUGCACGAGGCU
rnacentral:SRP_RNA from 1 species